rnacentral:ncRNA from 1 species
AAGGCCUGAUGUGUGUGAGAUUACCCGCUGAAUUUAAGCAUAUAAGUAAGCGGAGGAAAAGAAACUAACUAGGAUUCCCUUAGUAAUGGCGAAUGAACAGGGAUCAGCUCAGUGCCAAAUCGGAAUCACUUGUGGUUCUGAAAUGUGGCUUGAAGGCAGUACCAGUGGCAUCGCGGACGAAAGUCUCUUGGAAAAGAGCGUCAUAGAGGGUGAGAAUCCCGUGAGUCGUUCGCCGUUUGUCACGUACGGUCUGCGUUCUAACGAGUCGCGUUCCUUGGGAUUGGAGCGUAAACGGGUGGUAAAUUUCAUCCAAAGCAAAAUAUAUACUCGAGACCGAUAGCACAAAAGUACCGUGAGGGAAAGGUGAAAAGAACUUUGAGAAGAGGGUUAAAUAGUGCCUGAAAUCGUUGAGAAGGAAGCGGAUGCCGCCGUUGCAUAUGCUGAUUGUAGGAUUGCUGCUCGCUCCUGUCUUCUGCUACUCAUUCACAGACCUGGUCGUGUUGAGCAGUUGUUUGGCAGAUGUUAGUGGUGUUUCCUACUUUCAGUCGUCAGCAUCACUGGCUGAGUGGAAAUAAUCCUUGGAUGCUAAUUGGUUCGCUAUCUGUGAAUUGGUUGCUUCCUUGCGAUACUCACUACUCGGUCAGUGAGGAAGUGCGUUUGCUGGUCAACGAGCUUUCUAACUGUCAUUACCCUGCGCUUUUCGAUUCGUCGAGUGGCCAGGAUGUGGCUUUGAGAUUGUUCGCACUUAGUAAUCGCGAUGCUGGCUUCCAACGGUUGCCUCCGGCCCGUCUUGAAACACGGACCAAGGAGUCUAACGUAUGUGCGAGUGUGUGAGUGGCAAACUUAUACGCGUAAUGAAAGUGAGGCCGUAUGGCCAUGUUGGGGUCACCAACAACCGACCUUGAUCUUCGGUGAAAGGUUG